GAAAUGCGAUAAGUAAUGUGAAUUGCAGAAUUCAGUGAAUCAUCGAAUCUUUGAACGCAUCUUGCGCUCCUUGGUAUUCCUUGGAGCAUGCCUGUUUGAGUAUCAUGAAAUCUUCAAAGUAAAUCUUUUGUUAACUCAAUUGGUUUCUACUUUGGUAUUGGAGGUCUUUGCAGCUUCACACCUGCUCCUCUUUGUUCAUUAGCUGGAUCUCAGUGUUAUGCUUGGUUCCACUCGGCGUGAUAAGUUAUCUAUCGCUGAGGACACUGUAAAAGGUGGCCAAGGUAAAUGCAGAUGAACCGCUUCUAAUAGUCCAUUGACUUGGACAAUACUUUUAUGUUCUGAGCUCAAAUCAGGUAGGACUACCCGCUGAACUUAAGC
rnacentral:misc_RNA from 1 species